rnacentral:rRNA from 1 species
UACGGAGGGUGCGAGCGUUGUCCGGAAUCACUGGGCGUAAAGGGCGCGUAGGCGGUGCGAGAAGCGUGUGGUGAAAGGCCGGGGCUCAACCCCGGCUCGGCCGUGCGGACUCUCGCGCUUGGUGAGUGCUGUAGAGGCGGGCGGAAUUCCGGGUGUAGCGGUGGAAUGCGUAGAGAUCCGGAAGAACACCGGUGGCGAAGGCGGCCCGCUGGGCAGUGGACUGACGCUGAGGCGCGACAGCGUGGGGAGCAAACAGG